rnacentral:sRNA from 1 species
UAUCUCUCCGUACGGGGAAGGAUGAGAAGCUUCGACUAAGGUUCGAUUCGAGCGCAGCGAGAAAGCGUUGCCGUAGGCAACGACCCGAAGGGCGAAG